rnacentral:rRNA from 1 species
GCUUGCUACUUGCUGACGACCGGCGCACGGGUGCGUAACGCGUAUACAAUCUGCCUUAUACAGAGGGAUAGCCUUUAGAAAUGAAGAUUAAUACCUCAUGGUCUAUUAAUAUAGCAUUAUAUAAAUAGUAAAGCUUCGGCGGUAUAAGAUGAGUAUGCGUCCUAUUAGUUAGUUGGUAAGGUAACGGCUUACCAAGACAACGAUAGGUAGGGGCCCUGAGAGGGGGAUCCCCCACACUGGUACUGAGACACGGACCAGACUCCUACGGGAGGCAGCAGUGAGGAACAUUGGACAAUGGAGGUAACUCUGAUCCAGCCAUUCCGCGUGCAGGAAGACGGCCCUAUGGGUUGUAAACUGCUUUUAUAUAGGAAGAAACCUUUUCACGUGUGAGAAGCUGACGGUACUAUAAGAAUAAGGACCGGCUAACUCCGUGCCAGCAGCCGCGGUAAUACGGAGGGUCCGAGCGUUAUCCGGAAUCAUUGGGUUUAAAGGGUCCGUAGGCGGGAAUCUAAGUCAGUGGUGAAAUCUUACAGCUCAACUGU